AACCUACUCCCUCCGUUCGGAAUUACUUGUCGCAGAAAUGGAUGUAUCUAGAUGUAUUUUAGUUCUAGAUAUAUCCAUUUCCGAGACAAGUAAUUUCGAACGGAGGGAGUAGUUC
rnacentral:pre_miRNA from 1 species